rnacentral:lncRNA from 1 species
AUGAAUAUUUCUAAGUGGGGAGGAUUAUAAAUUCCCACGAUUUAUUAUUAGUAAAAUCAAGCUUAAUAUAAGCUUAGGAGAAUGAUUAACGAGAUCUUAAUAUCUGUGGGCACCCAUACGAGGGUAACAAGAUCAUUAUAAUACUUGAGCAUGAAGGUAAGAAGGAUUGACGGUCCCCAAGUUGGGUGAAUAAAGGCAUAACUUGGAAUGGUUGAAAAAAAGAUGGAAGAAUAGAUCCUAGCAGACCUGCGUAGCCUCAGUGCGUAGCCUACGCACGUUGUGUAGGCAAAAACAACAUGCUGGUGAGGGGGAUGCUUAUGUUGCGUAGGCUAUGCAAGCCUGUAUAGUGAAUCUGAGUAGGCUACGCAACCAAGCUACAUAGGCGAAGCGGCCAAGCUACGUAGGCUACGCAAGCCUGUGUAGCGAAGUUAUAUAGAUAACACAAUUUGCCUACGCAGUUCAUUUUCUAUAAAUAGUAUGGUGCCGAGAAAGAGAAAGAGGUGAAAGAUUUUGGAGCCUUGGAAUUCUAAAGAGAGAAAAGGCCAAUCCCUACACUUAAUACACUUCAAGGUAUGAUUAUUUGGCAUAUUUAUGAUGUUAUAAUAUCAUUGGAUGCUAGGACUAAUACAUACAUAGAUCCAAUCCAAGGAUUUCAUUUGAAUCUUGAAGAAUCACCAUGAACACCAAAGAAGGGAUUUUUCAAAGGUUUGCUUCAAAAGUUAAUUUUCUCUGUUCCAAUCUCGUUUAUGAGGUACAUAUGAGUGCAUUUAUGGUAUUCAUGAUAUUGGGAGGUUAUUAAGUGUGAGUAUUUAUGAAAUUCUAGUUGGGUAUUUAUGUUGGUAGUUGGGAAGACAAUGAAUAAUAAAUUGAAGUAUUACAUGGAGGUUGUCGAGUUAUGCAUGAACAUAUAUGGUAGGAGAUAUGACCCUAAAUACCUACAGUCAAGAGUUAAGGUAUAAAUGGGUCUUGUCGGGUAUCGUUGGGUAACUCUUAACUCAUAUGAAAUAUAAUUGUGUAGAUUGAGAUUGAUUGAAGGCCUUUAAUACUUGUGCUGGAGCUUUGGGAGUGUA